GCCAACUGAGAUACAUGUUUUUGGAGUCACAUGAUGAUUAAUGUUCCAAGGAAAAUUUACAUUUCUGAGCUCGGUUCGGUGGCCAACUCAUCACAAACCCCACAGAGAUGAGAGGAGACAGCAGGCAGCAAGGAGGGCCUUUUUUAUGAGGAGAAUCUCCAAAGCAAAGCAGGCUCUAGCAGCAGGGAGUAUCAUUAAUAAAAUGGUCUCUUCCCAGUUGCUUGGAUGUGAGAGUCCUGCUGAUGUAGCACCGAGCUCUUGGCAAUGCUGCAAUCUGACAGGUUUUAUUCCCCAGGGGAUUUACUCACAGGGCUGAAGUUGCCCUCCUGUAGCUCACACUGGUGUCUUUUGAGUAUGUACACCCAGGCAGUAAGGGUCUGCAGUCUUCAUUUGUUCUCUAAGCACUGAGAUGCAUUCUAGGAAGGAACAUUCAGAAAAUUACAUUUUAUCUAUAUGUUUGUUUGGUAGGGCUCCAGCUAUGCCAGGCUAGAGCCAGCCCACCCUUACACAAAGGGCAAGAGUCUGACUUCUUUAAACCCAAGGAGGCCCAAGGUGGUCCAAGAGCUGCCAUUCUGAAGAAAAGGGACUGAGGGACAGAAGAACCUUUCAGCUCUUGGUGGAUUAAUGAUUUGUUUGUGAUCUCACAGAGAGCUUCAGAGAUCUGCCACAGCAGUGUCAGGUUUGCCAGACCUUAUAUCAAUCACGUUGGCCUCCUCUUCACUCUGUCUCACUGAGCUGCAUCUUUUCAGCAGGGAUACAUAGGAUACACACCACAACCACUUGAAGCAGUUACCCACCAGCAAGGGAGGCCAGGGGGGAUUAUGGCUGAGACAGCACUUCAGAACCAAAGAAACUGGCCACCAUUGCAAAGAAAAGGACAGGCUGGUGAAGAUUUCAAUCAGCAGCAGCAGAAACUACAGCAGGAGAGAAACUGCAGGCAAACAGGAACACAGAUAAGACCCCACAGCGAUUUUGGACUUGGGUGCAGAUGGAGACCAAACAAGAUCAUUCAAGUCCAGAGCACGAUACAAGUCCAGAAGAAAGUGAGAGUAAGGGGGAAAAAAUGGCCUGAACAAGAAAAAAAAAAAGCCCAAAACAAACAAACAAAAAAAUCCACCACUGUGAAUUUCCCUUAAGGAAACUGAAUUAUCAGAAAUGUUGGAAAGUCCAGCACACAGUGCCUUAGGCUCUCUUCCUGCACUCUGAAUUUCUAUUUUUCCUAGAGCCAAGGAGCCAAUUACUGCCUGUGAAACCAAAGACACCAUCCUGAAAUAACCUGCCCUGCAGAUACAUAAGACCACAACUCUUUAUCAGGGAAAAACUAUCCCCAUUGCUGCGUACCUAUUGUUUGCACAAUUGCUCUGUUUCUUAGACAGCUGUAAAGUUUAUUCUAUUUUAACACAUGAAAUUGGGAGUCAGAAACAAACCAAAAAACCCUUUGCCAGAAAUUAAUUCGCAGUAAGUUCUGUCCUUUAGAUUUUAUUCUUGUGAGUAAUAUUUUCUACUGGCCUCAUAUCAGCCACCAUAAUUGAGCAACUUUACUCCUCUGUGCUCUGUUCCUUAGAGUAAAAACCAUGAUUGCCUCAGGAUUUCCUGCUCAUGAAAGUAAGUUGCUCAGUUGUAAAUGGAAGAGGGGAAAAAUGUCACAAACCAAGCAAUAGAACUGUGUGCAUGGGCCUUUCACUAGGCACUUGCACUUUAAUACAUACUUGAAGAAAAUCUUUCACUACAUUUUAACAAUUGGUUCAUUAUGACAUACCAUAUCUUACAAAACUAAUGAUGCCAAUUGUCUUUUAAAAAUGUAAUUUGGUUUGCAGGGUGUUUCUGCUAUUCACCUGAAAUGAAAAUAAAUGUGCCUGAUGUGCUAAAGUCACCAGCAGAAUAGAAACUCCAGGGUGCAGCCACUGCAAGUUUUGAGUGAUUUUUGCCUCAUUUGUGUCUACCUCUAACAACACUCCAAACCCCAAAUCACUGCUGACUAGGAGAGUGUAUUUGUGAGGCAUCAUUGUUACUUAUCUAGAUCAACACUUUUCUGAAGCAUCCCCUACUGUCAGCAUUUCAUCUGACCCUUGAAGACAAGCCCUGUGAUGCAGUAACUGAAUUGCAGUGAUAUUUACAGUUCAUAUUAAGUUUUGCAGUCAGUAUUCACCAAGGCUGCUAAUGUCUAUCCAGAGAGGCUGGAACAGCCGGGCUUCAAAUUAAAUCCAGUGAUGAACUCUUCCUUUCCCAAGUGUUCGGUACUUCAAUUGCCAGGCAGCUUGCUGGGAAGAAGGGAACAGCUCAUGUCUCCUUCUCCUCCCCCUCGGCCCCAGCCUCUGUUCACCAGGAAGGUCAAGCUGCACCUUUUUCUCCUCCCUAUCUGCCUUCACAAGAUGAAAACCAUGACACAUCUUUCUCCAAACACCAGCCAGUACAGACAUUUUGUUAUGCUGCAGCUUCCCUCAGCUGGGUACAGCAGUUGAAGACACCACCUGCAGUGACAGCCUCUGUUAGGCAAAGAGGUUCAUCAGGCACACUGAAAUCAGGAUUUAGAAACAAGCCUUGGUGGACUGAGGCACAGGUUCCUCACCACAAAAUAGCAGUAAUUCACCACCUUCUGCCUGCAGCCCCACACAGCUCAAAGGUGAGCUGCUCCUUCAU